UCCGUAGGUGAACCUGCGGAAGGAUCAUUACCUAGAGUUGUGGGCUUUGCCUGCUAUCUCUUACCCAUGUCUUUUGAGUACUUACGUUUCCUCGGUGGGUUCGCCCGCCGAUUGGACAAUUUAAACCCUUUGCAGUUGCAAUCAGCGUCUGAAAAACAUAAUAGUUACAACUUUCAACAACGGAUCUCUUGGUUCUGGCAUCGAUGAAGAACGCAGCGAAAUGCGAUAAGUAGUGUGAAUUGCAGAAUUCAGUGAAUCAUCGAAUCUUUGAACGCACAUUGCGCCCCUUGGUAUUCCAUGGGGCAUGCCUGUUCGAGCGUCAUUUGUACCUUCAAGCUUUGCUUGGUGUUGGGUGUUUGUCUCGCCUUUGCGUGUAGACUCGCCUUAAAACAAUUGGCAGCCGGCGUAUUGAUUUCGGAGCGCAGUACAUCUCGCGCUUUGCACUCAUAACGACGACGUCCAAAAGUACUUUUUUACACUCUUGACCUCGGAUCAGGUAGGGAUACCCGCUGAACUUAAGCAUAUCAAUAAGCGGAGGA
rnacentral:rRNA from 1 species